rnacentral:tRNA from 1 species
GGUGGAGUUUCCGAGUGGCUAAAGGAGGCAGACUGUAAAUCUGUUGGCGAAGCCUUCGAAGGUUCGAAUCCUUCCUCCACCA